UACGUAGGUGGCAAGCGUUGUUCGGAAUUAUUGGGCGUAAAGAGCUCGUAGGCGGUUUGUUGCGUCGGCUGUGAAAUCCCGAGGCUCAACCUCGGGUCUGCAGUCGAUACGAGCAAACUAGAGUGUUGCAGGGGAGACUGGAAUUCCUGGUGUAGCGGUGAAAUGACGCAGAUAUCAGGAGGAACACCGGUGGCGAAGGCGGGUCUCUGGGCAACAACUGACGCUGGAGGAGCGAAAGCGUGGGGAGCGAACAGG
rnacentral:rRNA from 1 species